CUACGGGUCGCUCCAGUCGAGAAUAUUUGACAAUGGGCGGAAGCCUGAUCAAGCGACGCCGCGUGCAGGAAGACGCUUUUCGGAGUGUAAACUGCUUUUCAUGGGGAUGAAGAUCGCCUUUUGGUGGUUUGACAGUACCCAUGGAAUAAGGAACGGCUAACUUCGUGCCAGCAGCAGCGGUAAUACGAAGGUUCCGAGACGUUAUCCGGAUUUAUUGGGCGUAAAGGGUGUGUAGGGGGCGAUGUGCGUCUGUUGUUAAAACUCACUGCUCAACGGUGAGAUCGCGAUGGAUACGGCAUAGCUCGAGGAUGCGAGAGGCUUGCGGAACGCAAGGUGUAGGGGUGAAAUCCGUUGAUAUCGUGCGGAACACCAAAGGCGAAGGCAGCAAGCUGGCGCAUUUCUGACCCUGAGACACGAAAGCGUGGGGAGCAAAAAGGAUUAGAUACCCUCGUAGUC
rnacentral:rRNA from 1 species